GACGAACGCUGGCGGCGUGCCUAAUACAUGCAAGUCGAACGCAGUGGGGACGGGUGAGUAAACCGUGGGUAAGCUCCCAUCAGAGGGGAUAACACUUGUAAUCAGGUGCUAAACCGAUACUGAUGGAUGGACCCGCGGUUGAUUAGCCAGUUGGUGGGGUAACGGCUCACCAAGGCCACGAUCCAUAGCCGGCCUGAGAGGGGGAUCGGCCACACUGGGACUGAGACACGGCCCAGACGCCUACGGGAGGCAGCAGUAGGGAAUCUUGCGCAAUGGACGAAAGUCUGACCGAGCAACGCCGCGUGAGUGAAGAAGGUUUUCGGAUCGUAAAGCUCUUUUGGUAGAGAAGCGGUAUCUAACCAGAAAGCAACGGCUAACUACGUGCCAGCCGCCGCGGUAAUUC
rnacentral:rRNA from 1 species